UACGUAGGGGGCAAGCGUUGUCCGGAAUCAUUGGGCGUAAAGGGCGCGUAGGCGGUCAGCACAAGUCAGUUGUGAAAUCUCCGGGCUAACUCGGAAAGGUCAACUGAUACUGUGCGACUAGAGUGCGGAAGGGGCAACUGGAAUUCUCGGUGUAGCGGUGAAAUGCGUAGAUAUCGAGAGGAACACCUGCGGCGAAGGCGGGUUGCUGGGCCGACACUGACGCUGAUGCGCGAAAGCCAGGGAGCGAAGCGGG
rnacentral:rRNA from 1 species